GAGCGUCGAUUCAAAAAUGACAUGGAGUUAAUCGACGAUUUACAAAAAGAAUCAGAAGGCCUGGUUGCCGGUGAAGCAAAUCCGUUAACGAUGAAGAAAAUUGUGGAAACUGAACGAUUAAUAACGGAAUUGCCAGAUACAUCAGAAUAUAUUCCUCAGUGCAUUCCAAGCCCAGGGUCAACUAUACCAAACAAAAUAAGCUUUGAGAUAAACUUUCAAGCCCUGGAUGAAUUUGAAUGGAGGCUUACGAUCGAUAAGAACCCUAAUACAAAGACUGAACGUUGGUUUGCUUGCAUGAUUCGAGGAGUGCCUGGCGUGUAUUCUGUUAUAUUCGGGGAUCAACCUAAGCAAGACAUAUCUUUCGAGCUCAAUGAAAAGAAGUGUAUCGGAGUUGUUAAUGUGGACAAUCACAAUAAUACACAGACCACAUAUCAAUACUCUCAGAACAGGAGUAGUGUGGUAAAUCGGCACAGCAGUGGUAUAGUAAUUAUGAACAAAGCAAAUAAUAAAAAAUAUGUUUGCAUAAAUUUACAUUAUAUGCUGCAAGUUGAAC